UCGCUUCGAAUCAUCGAUUGUGCAAACGGCGGUUGGUUUGAAGCAUUAAUAAACUUUAUUUAUAUUCAGGUAAAACAACAAUUAACAACAUUUACAGAAGGACAUUACAUCUUCCAUAAUAACAUUACAUACAGGUUUCUAACAAAUAAUGCAAUUCCUACUCUAAUAUAGUCGUUCAUUAUAAAGUGACAAGUUACACAUCUAGGCUCCAGAACUGCUUGUCGAAAGUCUGCAUUAUUUCAGUGCAUCUUACAAAAAAAAAAAAAUAAUAAUAGAUAUAGGCAAGUGAAGCGAAAACACAGAUUCAGUGUUCAGCACAGCGGAUGCAUGUCCAACCUCCACACGCCUGUUUCCCAACGAGAAUAUGAAUCAGUCUAGGGUGCGUUUGUGAGCCUGAACACGGAAUAUAUACUGUAUAUACAGCCUAGUAUAUAACAAAGAUUACAAAAAGAGUAAAUAUUCACAGAUGAAUUGAGAAUAAUAUGGUAUUAUUGACAGCACAUUCCAUAGCAGAGCAAACCGGGAAUCUAAAGCUGUUCCCUUUUCAUGGUAUAUUUACAUUUAUCUAUCUAUCAAUUUUAUAACUAUGGAAGCCCCUUUCUGCUGCUAAAUGAAAAAUUUUAAAAUGUUAAUCGCGAUUUUUUUUAUUUCGCAUAUAAAUUCACAAUUGCGAGAAAAUAGUACAAAUUGGCAGAUACAAAUUUGCACUUGGAUCGUAAUUUUCAGAAUUCGCAAUCGUGAGAAAAAGCCAGAAUUGCGAGAUUUAAACUCACUAAAUUCGCAAUCCUGAGAAAUAACGUUGCAAUUCUAAGAAAAAUUCAGAACUGCAAGAUAAUAAACUCUUUUGAUCGAAUUUUAUAAUUAUGAUAUAUAAACACAAUUUUAAGAAAAUCUUUUUUUUUUCCCUCAGAAUUGGAUGUUUUGACGUAUUUCUAAAACUGAUAAAAGUCGGAAUUGCGACAUAAACUGUGAGGGAAAAAAAGUCAGAAUUCCAAGUUUUUAUCUCAGAAUUCUGACUUUAUAACUCGCAAUUGCAAAUUUAUAUCAUGCAAUUCUGAAAGAAAAGAAAAGUCAGAAUUGUGAGAAAGAGUCAUAAUUACCUUGUUUUAUUUUUAAUUCAAUGGCAGAAACGGGCUUCCAUAAAUACUUUGAAGCAAGCGCCAAUGAUUAUGCAAACAUGAUGUCUCCUCUUUUUUGUGUUUGUCACAGUGCUAAAUGUGCAAUAAUCAUUUAUUAUUACUUUUCUCCAACCCUUUUUCUUGCAAAAAAAGGAGACUCUACACACCUUAAAGUGACGAUAAAAUACAGCAUGCUGCAUGUAAAACUGCGACCGCCACAAAGACGGGAGGAGCUCUUACAUGUUUCAAGAAAAUAAUUAUUGGGCUGCUAAUACUGGCUGGAAUCCUUUAAUGUGUGGAGGCAUUAAUGCGGCUUCACGUUUCGAUAGAAUCACAGCCAGCUUCAUAGUCGCAACACUAAAAAAGUCUCUUCAUUUCUGAUAAUAUGUAAUUAUAAACUGGUUAGUUGAAUAAAGGCCACAUUCACACUGCAGAAUGAUACGGGUGUCACUCCUUUUCACAUGCACUGCAAAACAAUAUGUUGCUUAUUCUGUAUUUUUGUUUUCCAGUAAAGUACAAGAAGCAAAAUUUAAAAGAUAUAUAAUUCAUAUAUAUACAUGCAUGUAUAAGCUACAUGCUAAACGAUAAAAAGGUAAUUGCGCAAUUUUCUCUCACAAUUUUGUUAAUUCUGAUUAAAAGUUACAAUUGUGACUCAGAAUUACGAGACAUAAUCUUUCUCACAAUUCUGACUUUUAUACUUUACUUUAGAUUUCUAAUAUAUACUAUCAUAGUUAAAAAGUCGCAAUUCUGAGUUUAUAUCUCGCAAUUGACAUUCUCUGAGAAUUGCGAGAAAAAUGGCAGACGUGUGAGAUAAAAGUUGCAAAUGCCUUUUAGUAAGAAAAAAUAAAACAAUUCAAAGGGAAAACAAGUUUAUUUUUUUUACCUCACUGAUGUUUUUUUCUUUCGUUUUACGCAAAAAACACAUUAUUUUGUUAAUUUGUACAGAAAACAAUUUUUAAAGACAUCUUUAUGCAUCUCAGAUAAAUGUAUAUUGAUUUUAGAAUGUUUCGAUAUUUGCACUGGAAAACAAGAAAAUUUUAUUUUAUUUUAUUUUUUUGCAGUGUAGAACAUUGAAUUUACUAAUUUGCACCAAUUUUGUUUAGUGCAUGUUUACUGUAACUGAAUCUGCCUAAAACCUUUAGUGAAUUGGGUGUUAAAAACAUCAAUAUGUCUUCUUUUCCUAAAAUUUCUUUAGUUCAAAAAAGCAAACACAAUGUUGCUAUGAUUAUCACUAUAUCAGCCAAAUAAAAUUUAGGAUUAAGAGUGAAAAUCAGGUUAUGCAGUGUGUACGUGGCCUGACUGAAAAUUCAAGUGUAAAACAUGACCUUAUUAGCAGGAAUGUUGCGCAAACACAUUGAAAACUGCAUUCGCAGUAAGUCCAUAAAUCUCUUUAACUAGUCCUCUGGAUGUUAGUCACAACAUUAUGACUAAAGCUGAAUCAAGAACUUAAUUUUGCACAAAUAUUAAUUGAAUAAUUUGUACCGUAUAUUAACUGCAAAGGCAUGAUGUGUCACUGGACGUCAUGCACGUCUGUACACGUGUGUUAUCUGAACUCAUUUGACUUCUUUAUUCGAUCCGUGUUAACAGUGCAGAGCCAAACAUUGCUAUUGUUCAAUUAGCUCCUACACUUAUAGAAAGUAAACUUCAUCGAUAUUUAACAACAUAUUGACAGAAAGAGAAAAUACCGUACCCAAAUGAAGAUUAUAUUAUUAUCGUCUGUUGUACGGAAACCAAAUGGACAAACAUGAGCAGGAAGAGCGGUAUCAGUAUUCAAAUAUGCAGGUUAGGAGAGUAGUGCACUAUGGGAAAUUUCUUCAGAUCAAAUUCCUUCUCUAAAGGAUGCUUGAGAAAUGCGUAAGCUUCAUCAACAACACUUCAGUUUGAAAUGUUAAAGGCCGUUCGCAUAAUGCAUACUUGCAUUUAUAAACGGCUAGAAAAAAAUUAUUUAUGUUCCAAUUUGACCCACAACACAGUUGUGUUACUGGUUAAGCUGAAAUCAUGUGACUAUUUCUCAAUUAGGUUCAUGAAAGUUUUGAGACUGGUGUGUUGUGGAAUGUGUGUGAAAGUUUUCUGUUUCAAAUUAAAGUGUUCAGACCCAAAAUAAAAAAUAUAUAUGUGUUUUGUUUGGUAUUUGCAUUUAUUAUGCAUUUGGCAGAGACUUCUAUUUCAAGGAACAUACUAAUUUCAAAUACCAAACAAAAUUUCAUUUGUUCAUGCAUAUGAAUUUAGCUGGGAAUCGAACCCAUGAUCGUGCUGUUGCUAGUGCUAUGCUUCUAAAGGUUCAGCUUUAGGAAAGUAUACAAAAUAAGAAACAGAUGAAAUAAAAAAUAAAUACAAU